CACACACACACACACACACACACACACACACACACACACACGCUCCUGGGGCACCAUCUCAGUUCCAGGCCCUGGGCCUGUUCCUCCCUCUGUCUUCAUUUUAUAAACACUGUUGCGUUUUUAACAGAAUGUCCCUUUCAUCCUUACUCCCCUCCUCUGCUGGCAAGGGGAUGGGAACCUGUCUUUUGUAAAAGGAGAAGAGUUGUAUCUAUUCACUUUUGUAAUAGUGGGUGUUGGGCACAUGUGGGGGUGCCAAGCAGAAGCCAGCUUUCUGCAGCCACAGGAGUGUCGGGGCUGGUCCCAUGAGAUGCCCACAAGGCUGUGAGUGCUCUGUGGUCCUCCACCGGCCCAACCUAGCCAUCUGACAGGUCCUUGGUUUAAUAAACACUAUAUAAAUAUCAA